rnacentral:rRNA from 1 species
GACAGAGGGUGCAAGCGUUGUUCGGAAUUACUGGGCGUAAAGGGCGCGUAGGCGGUCCAUUAAGUCAGGGGUGAAAUCCUGGAGCUCAACUCCAGAACUGCCUUUGAUACUGAAGAUCUUGAGUUCGGGAGAGGUGAGUGGAACUGCGAGUGUAGAGGUGAAAUUCGUAGAUAUUCGCAAGAACACCAGUGGCGAAGGCGGCUCACUGGCCCGAUACUGACGCUGAGGCACGAAAGCGUGGGGAGCAAACAGG